rnacentral:tRNA from 1 species
GCCCAGGUGGUGGAAUUGGCAGACACAAGGGACUUAAAAUCCCUCGAGCGUUAAGCUUGUGCGGGUUCGAGUCCCGCCCUGGGCA